rnacentral:rRNA from 1 species
GAUGAACGCUGGCGGCGUGCCUAAUACAUGCAAGUCGAGCGAACGGACGAGAAGCUUGCUUCUCUGAUGUUAGCGGCGGACGGGUGAGUAACACGUGGAUAACCUACCUAUAAGACUGGGAUAACUUCGGGAAACCGUAGCUAAUACCGGAUAAUAUUUUGAACCGCAUGGUUCAAAAGUGAAAGACGGUCUUGCUGUCACUUAUAGAUGGAUCCGCGCUGCAUUAGCUAGUUGGUAAGGUAACGGCUUACCAAGGCAACGAUGCAUAGCCGACCUGAGAGGGGGGAUGGCCCACCCGGAACCGGGGACCGGUCCAGACUCCUACGGGAGGCAGCAGUAGGGAAUCUUCCGGAAUGGGCGAAAGCCUGACGGAGCAACGGCGCGUGAGUGAUGAAGGUCUUCGGAUCGUAAAACUCUGUUAUUAGGGAAGAACAUAUGUGGAAGUAACUGUGCACAUCUUGACGGUAACUAAUCAGAAAGCCACGGCUAACUACGUG